rnacentral:misc_RNA from 1 species
AAGUCGUAACAAGGUUUCCGUAGGUGAACCUGCGGAAGGAUCAUUAACAUUUUUACUCUUUUUGGGUUUGUGUUUUGGGAUGUUUUUGCAUUCUAAUUCACACUCCCAUUCAACCCCAAAUGUGCAUUGUGUUGUGCUUUUUGAGUCAAAUCAAAAGUACUUCUUUUUCUUAUCUAUACUAACUAAACCCCUUUUCUUACUUCUAGACUGACUUUAAACAACUUGAUUCGUACACUUCAUACUGUACGAUGACCAAUCAUAAUACAACUCUUAGCAACGGAUAUCUAGGCUCUC